rnacentral:rRNA from 1 species
UACGAAGGGGGCUAGCGUUGUUCGGAUUUACUGGGCGUAAAGCGCACGUAGGCGGCUUAGCAAGUCGGAAGUGAAAGCCCUCGGCUCAACCAAGGAAGUGCUUUCGAAACUGCUGAGCUUGAAUACUUAAGAGGAUCGCGGAAUUCCCGGUGUAGAGGUGAAAUUCGUAGAUAUCGGGAGGAACACCAGUGGCGAAGGCGGCGAUCUGGGAAGAUAUUGACGCUGAGGUGCGAAAGCGUGGGGAGCAAACAGG